rnacentral:rRNA from 1 species
AGCCUGCCCACUGAUUUAGUUUAAAGGGCCGCGGUAUAUUGACCGUGCGAAGGUAGCAUAAUCAUUAGUCUUUUAAUUGAAGGCUUGUAUGAAUGGUUGGACAAAAAGUAAGCUGUCUCAAUUAUAAUGAUUGAACUUAACUUUUAAGUGAAAAGGCUUAAAUAAAUUAAGGGGACGAUAAGACCCUAUAAAGCUUGACAAUAAUUUAAUUAUACUAUCAAUUGUUAGUAUAACUUGGUUUUAAUUAAGAUUUGUUGCGUUGGGGCGACGAGAAUAUAAUAGGUAACUGUUCUUAAAUAUUUAAUAACAAAUAUAAUUGAAAAUUAGUGUGAUCCUCUAUUAGCGAUUAAAAGAUUAAGUUACUUUAGGGAUAACAGCGUAAUCUUCUUUGAGAGUCCCUAUCGACAAGAAGGUUUGCGACCUCGAUGUUGAAUUAAGGUAUCCUUAUGAUGCAGCAGUUAUAAAGG